UGAUCUGCCUAUCUCGGCCUCCCAAAGUGCUGGGAUUACAGGUGUGAGCCACUGCGCCUGGCCUGCUGCAUGUUUUUAUCAUAGUGAGUUCAGGAAUUCUCAGGUGUUGCUGCAUCUUUUGAGAUGACUAUGUGGUUUUGUUUUUUAUCAUAUUAAUAUAGUGCAUGGCAUUAAUUGUACUUGAAUGUUGAACCAAAUGUUGCUUUCCUGAGGUAAAUACCCUUGACAUAUUUUAUAAUACUUUUUACAUGUUGCUGAUUUGUUUUACUAGGAUUUCCUUGAUGAUUUUUGGCUCUAUAUUCGUAAGGUGUGUUCUUAAUUUUCAUUAUUUGAAAUCUGUUUGUCUAGUUGCGGUAUCAGGGUAAACCAACUCACAGUAUAAAUGAAAUGCGAUGCCUUCUCCACUUUGUUGUUGUUGUUUUUAACAACUUAUUAUAAAUUAAUAUUAAUUGUUAAGUGAUUCCAAUAACUGACUAAUGAAUUAUCUUGACUGGGGCAAGGAAGCAAAUCCUAGGAACAAUCACGUGAGCUUGGAAGGAGACCUUUCCCCAGCUGAGCCUCAGCCUGGGCCAUCACCUGCAUCUGGACUGAAGACCCAAAGAAACUACUCCAUCAGGAAUUGUUUGAGACCAUGCAUUAUGUGGACACUCAUAUCGUGGAAUUAUAUUGCCAAUUGGCAUUCCUAAAGCUUCUACGCUAGCAGGUUUGGAGUAAUUCACCAGUGAAGUCUUCUCAACCUGGGCAAUCAUGUGAGCUUGGAAGAUGAUGCAUCCCCAUCUCAUCUUUCAGGUGAAACCUCAGCCUUGGCCAUCACCUACAUCUGGAUUUCUGACCCAGAGAAACUAGAAAGCAGGAGGUUAUUCGAGGAUGCUGGGCUCCCCUCACAAAUCUGUUUCUCAAAGUAUUGCAGAAAGGUGUGUCUUCUGGACACUCCCAGAGUAGGUGAGUAAAUUUCAAAUGACAAGUGCAUUCCAGAGUCCCAUUUGUUCUAAGCCUUUGAAUCUUUUCCUCCACAUAGGCCAAGGGAGAUCACACACAUCCAACUGGAUAAAGGAGGGCCAUCUUUUGAUUCAUGGUUCAGCCAACCAAACAAUUAGAGCCCUUUCUAACUCCCCAUACUGCAGCACUAAAACCAGUGUCUUUGUUUAAUGGGUCCAUAUCAAUAAAUUUGGGCUGAUCCGACUUUAUGUUUUCUCCACCCAUUAUCCCAACUCUUAAUAUCCUUUUCCACAUGUGUUCCCCAGAUUUCUGCUUGUAUAAAUUAGAAAACUCAAAUAGUUUUCUUGGACUGUAAUGAAGUUCCUGUGGGUCAAACUUUGUAUGUCAUUUUUAAGGGACUGUUGGAAUUCGAGUCUACUUACAGAUCCAGAAGCAAAAAGGAAGUGGUGGGUGUGGGGUCUGAGGAGAAGCAGCACUGCAUUCCUCAGCAACUGCUUCAGGGGAGUCCACUAUCUUUUCCUCAGGCAAUGCUGGAUUACUCCCUUCAAACAGAGGUGGAACUGGAUAUACCAAUGUGGGUGGGGAGGCCACUGCCAUGGAGAUGGGUGUAGGGGGCCAUUUUCACUGGCAGAGACAUCAGAAUUUCAGAGCUCAAUGUCUCCAACCUCCACACAGUCUCCCAACAUGUUCCUAACCCAGUUUACAGGGUUUCAUUCUUUCCUGAACAGUGCUAUAAAUUUACAGUAGACACCUUGCUAGGCUGGAAAGUCAACUUUCACAGUAAUUCAGCCAACUGCUUGGUGAUGGCUUGUGUUUCAUUUUCAGCAUUUUCAGCCCUAUGACUACAGGAGAUACAAUUCUCUCUCAGAGCACUGUAAGGCUUUUUAUGUGGAGCUGGAUUCUGAAGUUUGAAUCUCUUAGUUUAUCUUUUUUUAUUCAUCCCUUUGCUCAGCAACACUAGAAGCAGAGUCCUUAAGUUUUCCACUGAUAUUUAAAGAUAAUGCUUUCAGAGUCACCAAGUUCCUUGCCUCUUAUCAGUGGUUGAUUACUAGUGUCAAAGGCAGAUGUUUGCAUGUCUCUUAAGCAGUUCAUGAAAUGGACUAGCAGUGUGUUCUCUUUACUAUUAGAAGUAGAGUCUUAAGCAUUUUUAGGUAUCAUCAGGUUACCGAUCCAAAAUUUUAGAAACCCCUAAGCCAGUGAAAAAAACUUAUCCUUGAAAUUUUGUUCCCUAUAACCCAUUCAUGGUUAAAAAAAAUCUGUAUUACGGUUCUUUAGAGAGAGAGAACAAAUAGGAUAGAUACAUAGACAGACAGAUGGGGGGAGAUUAAUUACAGAAAUUGGGUCACAUGAUUAUGGAACCUAAGGCAGAUCUUCUGCAAGCUAGAAACGCUGAAAUACCAGUAGCAUAGCUCAUUCCAAGUCUGAAAAUCUCAGAAUGAGGAAAGUUGACAAUGUAAUUCCCAGUCUGAGGUUAAAGGCCUGAGAAUGUGGAGGGAUGCAGAAGUAAGUUCUGGGGUCCCAAGGAAGAGAGCUUGUAGUUAAGAUGUCCAAGGGCAGGAGGUAGAGAGUGUGCCAGCUCCAGGAGAGAGGGAGAGCAAAAUCAUUUUCACUCCUUUUUUGUUUUUUCUGGGCCCUCAGCCCACUGGAUAUUGCUCACACACAAAGUGAGUGGAUUGUUACAGAACCGAACUGGGGUCUGUUCACACAGAGCAGCAAGCCCAGGUAUCUACAUUGAUGUUUGCAGUGGGAGAAAAAGAGGUGUUUAUGUGCAUGCUGUCAAGAAAGAAGAAUCACGCAGCUAAUGCUUAAGUUCCCACUUCCCCAAUGGCUUGUAGGUAAGGGUUAACUGAAGGGGUAAAUUUCAGGAAAGCAGAAGUUUUUGGCAAAACUAUAAAUCAAUACAUGGAGUAUUGCAUUGGUUUUGUUAUAAAACGAUGGGAUAUCUUUUUCUUUCCUUUUUCUUUCUUUUUGAGACGGAUUCUUACUCUGUUGUCCAGGCUG
rnacentral:lncRNA from 1 species